rnacentral:rRNA from 1 species
GACGAACGCUGGCGGCGUGCUUAACACAUGCAAGUCGAACGGACAGGCCCUGCUUUUGUGGCGUGCUCGUUUGGCGCAGGGGUGAGUAACACGUGAGUAACCUGCCCUUGACUUUGGGGUAACUUCAGGGAAAUGGGGAUAAUACCGCAUAGGAGCUCCUGCUGCAUGGUGGGGGAUGGAAAGAUUCGGCGGUUGGGGAUGGACUCGCGGCUUAUCGGCUUGUUGGUGGGGUAGUUGCUGACCAAGGCUGCGACGGGUAGCCGGCCUGAGAGGGGGACCGGCGACAAUGCGACUGCGAGAGGGAGCAGACGGCUAUGGGAGGCAGUAGGCGAGAACAUGACGGAACGGGGGCGAGCCAGAUGCGGCAACGCCGCGUGCGGGAUGACGUGUUUCGAGUUGAAAACCGAUUUCGCAGGAGAUGUAGAGUGAGUGACGGUAACUGGUAAGGAAGCACCGGCUAACUACGUG